GAUGAAUUUCUUAUCUAGAGAGGCAUGCAUGUUAAUUGUAGAAAAAGACCUGGUAUUGUGUUAUAGGCUGUUGUACUGUAUCACAAGAUUCACUUAUUCUGAUCAUUAGUCACCACAGCGUGAUUUGUCACACGUGAGGAUUGAUAUAAAAACAUAAGCACACGUCUUUUCACAAUAAAAAAAAAAUCAAUCUGGAAAGAUGAAAAUGAAACCUGUUAUAGUUGUGUUAGUUGUGCUGAUGUUAGCUUUCUGUGUGGUUCGUGCCAGUCCUCUUCAGAACGAGCAACUGGAAAGUAAGGUGUUCGGUUCACGUAAUGUGGACACUGAGGAGAGAAGAUUGGGAGGCAUAUUUUCCGCAGGGGGACCUCGGCCACGAACUAGGCGUCCCCCAAGAGACAAUGAAUGAUUGUAUUCCGCAGUAAUACGAAUUCAACUCGGAAACUUUAUUGUCAAAUAUUCUAUAUGAUGCAGCUUUCCGGUGUUUAGAAAGUCAAUUUAACAUUUAAUUUACAUUUUGAAAUUUUUGUACCCUACCAAAAAAAAUAAAUAAAAAAAAGCAA